UACAGAGGUCCCGAGCGUUGUUCGGAUUCACUGGGCGUAAAGGGUGCGUAGGCGGUCGGGUAAGUCUGAUGUGAAAUCUCACAGCUUAACUGUGAAACUGCAUUGGAUACUAUUCGGCUAGAGAGUUGGAGGGGGGACUGGAAUUCUUGGUGUAGCAGUGAAAUGCGUAGAUAUCAAGAGGAACACCAGUGGCGAAGGCGAGUCCCUGGACAACUUCUGACGCUGAGGCACGAAAGCUAGGGGAGCAAACAGG
rnacentral:rRNA from 1 species